CCAUGGGCGAAGGGACUGAUGGCCUGGUUGGCGCUGCUGAGAACUGUCGGGAGCUUCUUGAGACCGAGGACCGAAAUCCCGGCUCCAGGCCUCGGGGACUGCGGACUGUGGGGAGGCUGGCCGGAGAGAGAGGGAAGGACGGGGCCUGGCCCCCGGGACUCCCUGUGCCUUGCUUGGAGCUGACGCCGACGGUCACCCAGGAGAUAGUAUCACCAUUUUCCUGAUGCCAAACUGAGGCUCAGAGAGGUGAAGUAACUUCUUCAAGUCACAACACAACUGUUGUCCAGGAAUCAGGCAGUCUGGCUCUGCUAACCCAGUUUUACCCACUGCAUUAAUGUACCGCAUCCACUUGUUCACUCAGUUUCACCUGACAAAUACUAAUUUUGUCUCUCUGUGGAACAAGUUCUUUGCUGGGUGCAGGGAAUAAAGCAGAACACCGUUCAGUUCCUGCCUUCCCAACGCUUGUAAAUCUAGUGCAGGUCAUUCAUGGCCGGGCUGCAGGGUGUCCAUGAAUCCUGCUAAAAUCAUUUGCGAAAUGUUGUGAGCGUGGGUCUUUUCUUCUGGAAAGAGAGUCUGUGACUCUCAGGUUCUGAGUUGAUCUGUGAUCCAAACAGAGGUGUGAAGAAGUGUUGUUUUAGCAGAUCUGUGCCUAGUAUGCCUGAUACACAGCUUGAACUUCAAACAAACAGCAACAAAAUUCCUACUGGUUGGAAGAAUGAAGAACUUGUAAGAGCAUAAUAAGUGCUGCA
rnacentral:lncRNA from 10 species